GAUGUUAUCCGUAGAACUGUAGUUCACUCCACCGCUCAUAUUUUUGCUGAUGUCAAAAAACAGUAUCUUCUUUAUGUCUGAUAUUUUUCAGAUUUAAGGUUUAAAACCUUAAAUUCAUCAAAAUUUUCUAGCUCAUAGAUACCCACCCAACUAAAACUCGUGGAGAUCAGUCACUGAAUCCCCCCUAAAUCCCAGAUACUGGAUUCUUGUGCAGGUUCCUUUAAUACAAUCUCUGUUCUUUAAUAUAUUUUGCUUGUAUAUAUCGAUCUUGAUUGAUGAUCUUUUACAAGAAUGAGUAAUUUAUUUCAUUGGUAAAUUUUUUUCUUGAUUUUGUGAUGAUUAGCUUCUGAUUCCAUGAUAGUAUUUGGAUCUUAGAAAGUUGAAGUUAGGGUUUACCAGAAUCUAGAAAAGGAAUAAGAAUUUCAAUCAGCAAUUUUUCUGGGAUAUUUUCAACUAUAGUGAAAUUUAUUAUUAUUUCCCAGAAAAGAUACCAUUUUUUUCUAAAUAUUUUAUUCAUCAAAAACUCGUCUUUGGGCUAGGGGAAAACAUGCUUGUGUGGACCUCACGGAGGUUUCACCUUGGUUGGUUUAAGGGAAAACGGGUUGUAGUUGGACAAGCAGCAAAGAAAGGCAAAAUCAAAGAAAGUGGAUAAGCACGCUAAAGCUUGCGUAGAGAACCAGCAUGUCUUUGUCUCUUUUGCCUUUGAUACAUUUGGUUCCCCUAGUCGCUAGAAGCUAUCCACUUCUUGACUAGGGUCCAACGGGUCAUCCACAGCAAUUGUUCAAGGGGAUAGGGGUUUGUCUUUGGAAGGUUAGGGUUUGCAAUUCAGAAAGGGGUGGCAGUGUUGCCCGUCUACCUUCUCUUUGAUGUAACUUGGCAAGUUUUUUUGACGAAGAUACCAUUAAAUCCUAUAUAUGUAUUAUUAGUCCCAUUAUGGUUUAAGAUAAUUUGGCCAACCCUUACAUAGAUUAAUAAUGCCUAGGUUAAAGGUGGUGUUUGGAUUGCGAGAAUUAGUUUUAAAACCACUAUUUAAUUCCUAUAGAUCAUUAUAAGCAUAGAUAUAACCACCCCAUAAACUUGCAUAAUAUGGGCAAAAACAUCUCGAACGGUGGUGUGUUGGUAAGCGCUUGAUUACUUUCUACCAGAGGUCUCACGUUUGAAUCUUGCUUCCACUAGUCUCCACCUCUUGAUGGUUGCUUGCCCAGUGCAAGCUACGAUGAAACAUGAUCCCGUUGGUUAGCUGGGGUAUUGGUGGGGUACCGUGAGUUUUUAGGAACAGCUUCUCAUGGUUACCAUAACAAAAAAAAUAAAAAAUAAAAAAAAAUCAGUUAUCUAUGGUUUCCAAUAUCCCACAAAUGAUAUAUCUUAUUUUAACAAUUUGAUUGUCUUACAUUUGUUUUUAUCUUGUAAUAGUUUAAGUUCGAAAGAUGGGAAGGGGGGAUGAAUCCUUUUGGGAAAAAGUUUUGCCUUUUGCUGCUAUGGUGGUGGUCGAAUGUGGUGAAGUUGGGAUGAUUACAUUAGGGAAGGCGGCCAUGAACAACGGGUUAAGCAAUCUCGGUAUGUAGUUUACUAUAAUGCCCUUGGCACCUUUCUUCUGCUUCCAAAUUUCAUCGUUCACAGCUGCAGAAGGUAAUCGACCCCCCCUCACUUUUAUCAGUUCUUUUCUAAACUCUUUGGCCUCGGCCUUUUAGGGUAAGUAACUGCUUCUUUAGUAGCGAUAUAGAGAUGACAAUUUCGACCCAUUGAAUUGUGUACAUGUCAAUUCGGAUAAUAUCUCGAAUGGGUCAAAC
rnacentral:lncRNA from 1 species